GACAGCAGCCGCCGCGGGAAAACGAAGGGUGCAAGCGUUACUCGGAAUUACUGGGCGUAAAGCGUGCGUAGGUGGUGGUUUAAGUCCGUUGUGAAAGCCCUGGGCUCAACCUGGGAAUUGCAGUGGAUACUGGGUCACUAGAGUGUGGUAGAGGAUAGUGGAAUUUCCGGUGUAGCGUUGAAAUGCGUAGAGAUCUGGAGGAAUACCGAUGGCGAAGGCAGCCAUCUGGCCUAAUACUGACGCUGAGGUACGAAAGCAUGGGGAGCAAACAGGAUUAGAUACCCGUGUAGUCCCUGUCUCUUAUAC
rnacentral:rRNA from 1 species